UACGUAGGGGGCAAGCGUUAUCCGGAUUUACUGGGUGUAAAGGGAGUGUAGGCGGCCUGGCAAGCCAGAUGUGAAAGCCCGCGGCUCAACUGCGGGACUGCAUUUGGAACUGUUAGGCUUGAGUGCAGGAGAGGAAAGUGGAAUUCCUAGUGUAGCGGUGAAAUGCUUAGAUAUUAGGAGGAACACCAGUGGCGAAGGCGGCUUUCUGGACUGUAACUGACGCUGAGGCUCGAAAGCGUGGGGAGCAAACAGGAUUAGAUACCCGGGUA
rnacentral:rRNA from 1 species